CAGGGGAAAGCAAGCGUUUUUCUGUUGGAUUUCGAGUCAGGUCUUUGAGCGCUGCUAUAUGCACAAAAUGUAAAUCUGAAUAAAUAAUUUUUUGUAAUUAAA